rnacentral:tRNA from 4 species
GCGGCAUAGCCAAGUGGUAAGGCACAGGUCUGCAACACCUUUAUCACCGGUUCAAAUCCGGUUGCCGC